rnacentral:rRNA from 1 species
UCUUGGUCAAUUAGAGGAAGUAAAAGUCGUAACAAGGUUUCCGUAGGUGAACCUGCGGAAGGAUCAUUACCUUUCAAUGCAGCAGAAUUGGGAUGGUUGAGUAUCUCGCCUCUCAGUUCUGCCUGUAUUCUACCCUUGUUUGUCACAUACUAUUAUUUCCUCGGCAGGCUUGCCUGCCGAGUGAAACCAUUUAUAACCUUUUUAAUUUUCAAUCAGCGUCUGAAAAAAUUAAUAAUUACAACUUUCAACAACGGAUCUCUUGGUUCUGGCAUCGAUGAAGAACGCAGCGAAAUGCGAUAAGUAGUGUGAAUUGCAGAAUUCAGUGAAUCAUCGAAUCUUUGAACGCACAUUGCGCCCCUUGGUAUUCCAUGGGGCAUGCCUGUUCGAGCGUCAUUUGUACCUUCAAGCUUUGCUUGGUGUUGGGUGUUUGUCCCGAGGGACUCGCCUUAAAGUAAUUGGCAGCCAGUGUUUGGUUUUGAAGCGCAGCACAAGUCGCGAUUCAAGGCUACACGCCCGCUUCCACAAGCCUUUUUUCACUUUUGACCUCGGAUCAGGUAGGGAUACCCGCUGAACUUAAGCAUAUCAAUAAGCGGAGGAAAAGAAACCAACAGGGAUUGCCCUAGUAACGGCGAGUGAAGCGGCAACAGCUCAAAUUUGAAAUCUGGCUCUUUCAGAGUCCGAGUUGUAAUUUGCAGAGGGCGCUUUGGUGUUGGCAGCGGUCCAAGUUCCUUGGAACAGGACGUCACAGAGGGUGAGAAUCCCGUACGUGGUCGCUAGCCUUCGCCGUGUAAAGCCCCUUCGACGAGUCGAGUUGUUUGGGAAUGCAGCUCUAAAUGGGAGGUAAAUUUCUUCUAAAGCUAAAUACUGGCCAGAGACCGAUAGCGCACAAGUAGAGUGAUCGAAAGAUGAAAAGCACUUUGGAAAGAGAGUCAAAUAGCACGUGAAAUUGUUGAAAGGGAAGCGCUUGCAGCCAGACUUGCCUGUAGUUGCUUAUCCGGACUUUUGUCCGGUGCACUCUUCUGCGGGCAGGCCAGCAUCAGUUUGGGCGGUUGGAUAAAGGUCUCUGUCAUGUACCUCUCUUCGGGGAGAACUUAUAGGGGAGACGACAUGCAACCAGCCUGGACUGAGGUCCGCGCAUCUGCUAGGAUGCUGGCGUAAUGGCUGUAAGCGGCCCGUCU